AUUAGUGGCUGGUCGAGUUAUAAGGGUUAGAACUCUUGAAGCAAGGUGAAGAAGGAGCACUGUCCUUGGAUCAAUUUUUGUAUAGAUCACUGUUGGAGGGCGAACACUUGGACAUCUCGUGAAAAUUGGAUUAGCAUUACAGGUAUUCUUUUGAUCUAAAUUUAUUUUAUUAUACUUUGAUUGAUAUAGUCAAGAGUUUCUGGGCAUUAGGG
rnacentral:lncRNA from 1 species